UGAAGUGAUUGUCUCUCUUCAUGAAGGAGA
rnacentral:piRNA from 1 species